AAUAAGAUGGCCGAAAAAAGCAGUAGACUGUAAACCUACCAAUGGGAACCUCCCUCUUAUUA
rnacentral:tRNA from 1 species